AUGCACGCUGGCGGCGUGCCUCAUACAUGCAAGUCGCGCGAACAGACGAGGAGCUUGCUCCUCUGACGUUAGCGGUGGACGGGUGAGUAACACGUGGAUAACCUACCUAUAAGACUGGGAUAACUUCGGGAAACCGGAGCUAAUACCGGAUAAUAUAUUGAACCGCAUGGUUCAAUAGUGAAAGACGGUUUUGCUGUCACUUAUAGAUGGAUCCGCGCCGCAUUAGCUAGUUGGUAAGGUAACGGCUUACCAAGGCAACGAUGCGUAGCCGACCUGAGAGGGUGAUCGGCCACACUGGAACUGAGACACGGUCCAGACUCCUACGGGAGGCAGCAGUAGGGAAUCUUCCGCAAUGGGCGAAAGCUUGACGGAGCAACGCCGCGUGAGUGAUGAAGGUCUUCGGAUCGUAAAACUCUGUUAUUAGGGAAGAACAAAUGUGUAAGUAACUAUGCACGUCUUGACGGUACCUAAUCAGAAAGCCACGGCUAACUACGUG
rnacentral:rRNA from 1 species